CGGGGUGUAGCUCAGUUGGCUAGAGCGCAGGGCUGGGGGUCCUGAGGCCGGAGGUUCGAGCCCUCUCACCCCGACCA
rnacentral:tRNA from 1 species